AUGUUUUUGUUUAUGGCCGUGGGGAUUGGUUUUUGGGCUGGUGCUUGGUUAGGAAUUUCUGACCGAGGCUUUUAUAUCCUUGGUAGUUUUUCUGGCCGAGGCUAAUGGUUGGAUUGUGUUUAGAUGGAUUGGCCGAGAGUGAAGAAGAAUGAGAUGGUAAGGCGCCACAAACAAGGCUAUUUGAUAAGCCAAGGGAAGUUCGCCACAAAGAAGGAUCUUUGAUAAGAACAAGGGGGACUUGGUUCAACCAAGAAACUUAGGAGAAAACUCACUAAAGUAUUUUGCAUAAAUUCAACUUGUCUUAUUUCUUGAAAAUUAAAGCAUACAAAUAGUGUGGGUUGGCCAAGGUGGCUCCCAUAUUCACGCCUAUGCAUUUAGUUUGUUCAGCCAACUCUAACUCCUUACCUAGCUUACGGACCCGAUUCAGGCCAUUCUAAAUAAGGCAAUCCUUUAUUACAAUUCAUUCACUUAAUUCAGAAUU